UUCCAGGCUGUUCUGAACAUCCAGAUUAGCCAACAGCUACAACAUCGCUUGGAAACUAGAAAGCUGUCUACAGUACAUCAGUAACGUAGGUCCCCUUGGCUGAUGAGAACAGCAGGACUGCAGUGUGCACACGCACUGGAAGGCCAGUUCUCAGACAUAGUCUGUAGCAUUUUUAGGAUGGUGAACAUGCAGACGCAUUAGGGGUUGUCUUAAGAAGGUUAUUCAUUCUUUCCUGGUUUCUAAUAUGUUGCCCCCAAGUUAAAGCAGUCUUGUCAGCGUGGCAUAUUAUUGUGCUGUCUUUGACACAGAUACAUUUUGGUGCCCUUGGCUUUCUGUCUAACAUGGUGUGGGGGAAGCAGCCUGCAGACUGCAGUGUGGUUCUCAAAGCUAGGAGCUAGAGGCUCAGCUCAGGACUCACUGUAGUGGGGGGAGUGGAGGGUGAUGGACGACAGUGCCAUUGUCACCAAAAAUCAGGGGACACUCUUGUUCACAGUGGAGGCAUCCAAGUCAUCUCCGUUCACUUAGUCACUCAGUCAUUUAGAAAUUGUGCCCCAAACCUGUAUAGUUUCACUGUCACUGCUGUUGCACCCAUCGUGGUUUAAUCUGGGAGGGUGACCUGAAGAGACGGUGCCGGGAAGAACCAGCGGGGAGGUGGGGCGUGGAGGGAACCCAGGCAGGUGUGUGGGCCGAGAUCUGGCUCACCACCAGCACCUGAUCCUCUGAAAACCCGACGUGUCGCCCACAGAACCCAGUGCUGGGCUGAGCACAUCCUGAGCGCUCAACCAGUAUUAGUGGAAUAAAGGCAUAGACCUGGCUCUCCUCUCUGAAACCAAACGCCGUAUUACUCAGUGGAUGUGUUUUUGGUCCCCUAACAGCCUGAGGGUUUGGGCUGCGCCUCCCACUCUUGGUCCCUCCUUGGGCGGCUUUGCCAGGCGAGGCCUGGAGUGACCCAUGAUGUUGCUCUCUCUACGAGGUGGCCGUGGGCUAGGCUGACUGCCCCGAUGGCGUGUGUGAGCGACCAGCUCAGCCAGAUGGUUAGAAAAACCUUGACGUGCAGAAUGAGAAGAGAGGGUGGUCAGCUUGGGAUUUCCCCCCGAGAUUUUUCCAGCACCUCUUUGUAUCUGUGCUGCUAGCAGGUGGUUAGCCGUGAGGACCACAUGCUGGGAAUACCUGGGUUCAAAUCUCCCUUGCUACCUGUGUGACCUUGAGCAGGCCUUCUUGUGCCGGUUCCCCCAUCUGUAGGAUGAAGACAGUAAAAGCACGUGCUGUGCAAAGUGUGAGAAUCAGGAAAGUCGAGUGAAAAUGGCUGUUACUGUUAUUGUUGUUGUUAUUCUAAGCAGCAGCAGCAGCAGCUUAUGCUCCCUUGUUGCUUCUUCCCAGGAGCCUCCAGGAGGAGGAAACAGUCAGGGAAAGUGCAGGAGGGGCCCCUGUCUGGCUUGGGCCUUCGCAUCCCCCAGCCAGACCCUCCCGCAGAGCCUGAGGGAGGCAGCGGCUCUGUUCCCUGCUUAGGCUUCGGAACAGAAGCCUUUGCUAUUUUUGUCCUCCUGAAAGGACAGCGGCUGCCGGGCUGCCCUCUCCGCAGUGCAGUGGGGAUGCUGGGCUCUGAGCAGGAACUGGCAGAGGAGCCGGGGAGCUCAGUGCUCAGAGGAGAAGGCGCCGGGCCAGCUUGCUGUCUGCAGGAGGAGGAAGCGAGUCAGAGGGAAGGGGGAGGGAGGGGCAGCUGGGUUCCCUCCACCUUCCCACCCGCAGCCUCGGCCUCAAGGACCCGCGCCUGGUCGCCCGUGCCCCUCAGCAUCGCCCUGCUGUGGACAUUCAGGCCGUGUAACUUUAAACAAGUGUGUCCUCAGGGACAAGGUGGCUGUGUCCUCUCUGUGACCUGUUCUUGCCUUCCCAUCCUGGAAGCUGGGAGGUGGGCUGGAUGCAGAGAAAAGAGCAUUGUCUUAAACCCGCCUCGCAGCUCAAGGACCUGGAAGGCACAGAAUGGAAGGGCAAACAGGAGUUACUGCCUCUUUUGUUUCAUCUCUAAAAAUAUAAAAAGAACCAUGAAACCAUGGUCCGGCCGACACCACGUGACGUGACUUCUUUUCUGCGUGGACCUAUUUUGCAUAAAAGACUGUUUUCUGGAUUGGUACCUCCCAGCUGUACUGUCUCCAGCGGCAGAAUGGGUGUCAUUUCUGGAACUACGAGGAGGACCCCGGGGGUCAACCUGCCUGGUGUUGCUUUUCCAGCAACCUUCUUGGCUCUGUGUCCAGGCUGACCUCGUGACGGUCACCAGACCUGCAUGGUGAGCGUGCACCACAGGUGUGGCUGCGGUGACUCGGGAACUGUGGGUUUUGUUUUGUCUUGUUUGGAGGCAUAAUGGACAUACAUAACAUUAUGCUAGUUUCAGGUCUAAGGAGCUGCAUUAUUUAAUCUAAACUGAACUAAUGAAGUGUAAAUAGCUCCAUGUGGUCAGUGCUGCCAUCCCGGAUGGGGCUGACUGACCCACACGAGGGAGAAGGGCCAGAGGUCAAAGGUCUCAGGCCCGGCGGCCGUUCACAAGGCCACACUGCUGUCUGGACCGAGGUGAGUCUUAGUUGCUUCAUCUCUGCUGUGGGAGAAGCUGUCUACUCUCUUAAACAGGAAUGAGGUCAAGACCACAUUAAAAUAGCAAAGAAUGUGAUCUCCUGGGGCGGGUCACAUUUCUCCUUAGAGCCCACCCUCGAGCUGCCAAAUCACUGGGGAGGACUCGUCAUUUCUUCCAGGAUUCUGAAGACGCCCAGGUGGCCUGCUCAGGCUGGGAUGAGAGUCUGAGGUCAGGGUAGCCCAGAGGGGACACAGCGAGGCCACCCUGGGCCUCUGGGGCCAGGAUCCUGGUCCAGGGCCUUGGGAGGAAUGAGUCCUGAAUCAAAAGACCAACCAAAGGAAAUGGGCAGCCUUGAGGAGAGGGGAGAGGACAGCCCCUGAGAAUGAGCCCAAGGGAAACUGGGUUCGGAAGAGGCCUGAGCACACAGAGAAUGUUUCUCUAGUUUCUCUUCUAGGAGGUUUAUCGUGUCUUGUCUUGUAUGUAAGUCUUUAAGCCAUUUUGAGUUGAUUUUUGUGUGUGGAGUGAGGGAGUGUUCUAGCUUCACUGACUUACAUGCUACUAUCCAGUUUUCCCAGCACCACGUGCUGAAGAGACUGCCUUUUCUCCAUUGUAUGUUCCUGCCUCCUUUGUUGAAGUUGAAUUGACUGCAGGUCUGUGGGUUCAUUUCUGGGCGCUCUGUUCUGACCCGCUGGCCCAUGUGUCUGUUUCUGUGCCAGUACCGCGCUGCUUCGACUACUAGGAGGGCUGUUCUUCCAGCUUCGCUCUUUUUCUUCAGUAUUGCUUUGGCGAGUCUGGGUCUUUUGUGAUUCCAUAUACAUUUUAGGAUUGUUUCUAGUUUUGUCAAAAAUGUGGGCAAUUUGACAGGGAUCUCAUUAAAUCUAUAGAUUGCUUUGGGUAGUAUGGCCAUUUUAACAAUAUUAAUUCUUCUAAUCCAAGAGCAUGGGCUAUCCUUCCAUUUCUUUGAAUCAUCUUCAGUUUCCCUCAUCAGUAUUUUAUAAUUCUCAGCAUAUACGUCUUUAACCUCCUUGUUCAGGUUUAUUCCUAAGUAUUUAAUUUUCUGAUGUUAUUUUAAAAAAGAUUUUUUUAAAACUUCCCCUGAUACUUCAUUGUUUGAGAAAUACAACAGAUUUCUGUAUGUUAAUCUUACAACCUUAAUGUUAUUUCUUUAUCGUUUCCUCCUGAAAGCAGAUAUUCCACUGUCUGCACAGAAUGUAGACUCAAUUGUGGAACAAGUUUCUGCAGCCCAAGAGCGGUCACAAUUUCUAAAAGACUCUUCAAGUGUCAAACAGCCACCCUCACUUGGAAAAACUGGGCUUUUCCCCCAAAGUUCGUGGAUCGUAGCUUCCUUUCAACUCCAGUCUUAAUAUGCUCUUACAGACUUUUCAGCUUAAGAGAAUUUGCCUAGAACUAAUGAAUUAAAUACCAUUUUUCCUAAAAUUGGGCAUUCUCUAAGGCUAAUCAGUUUUCAAAUUAACAUGCACUAUGAUGAUUAACUUGAAAACUGGGGGCAUUGAAAACAGUUAUGACCCAGGACCUGCUCUAGGAAUGUAGUGCUGACUCACAUAAAAGGUCAAGUUCCUUUUCCUUCUUUCCAGACGUGUUUCAUUAGGAUGUUACCCUUUUCAGGUCAGUAUUGCAUUUGAAAAUCACACUAUUAAUCUUUCAGCUGCCCUUCUGGAUGGCUGCAAGAAUUAAGUAUUGUUUGCAUAAUUUUUGGGGACAGGGCAGGAUGACCAAGCAUAGCAAUGUGAAAACAUGUAUUUAAAAUUCUUAUGUAUGUGUAAUAAAUAUUAGAACACCACUGAGCUAAAUUUAAUGAGUCUAUAUUUAAAUUACCUGCCUGAUGACAAUUUUACUUAAUCACAAUUAGAAGUAGCUCUGAUUACUUCCUGAUAAUUGCUACUUAGAAUCUGGAGGGGAAAUUUCUGAACCCAGAAAUUUCCAGGUAACAGAUUACUUAAUUGCUAACAUCAAACUGGCACUCAAAAUAAUCAUCCCACCCUUGUCCUGGGUGGUUAGCAAUGUGUACUGAGAAGCACCUCCGGUGGGGACUGUUCUAGGUCCUGUGGGGAGAAGAGAGAACGUCUCUGCAGUUGGCAGUGGUAGAGCAAGAACAAAGCCCUAGAAAACACAGUGGCAACACGUGGGUCUGUGUAGGUGUGUCAUGUGACUCACGGGGACCUGCGUGCUUCCACACAGCGGUACCACCGGACUGUACUGUCCCUGAGAUCUGUGGGCCAGCGAGGGCAUGCCUCUGUUACUCAAAACCCUAGACUUUUCUUGCUUUCUCUCCUCCUGUUCACUGUCAUAUUUUUAUGCUUAUGGUUUAUUAUUUGUUUCCACCUACUUGAAUUUAAGCUGCACAAGAGGAGAGAUUUUUAUUUAUUUAUCUGCAGAUACAUUCCAGAUGCUCAUAAGGCCUUUGCACGUAGUGGGCUUCUCAAUAAAUACUUGUUGAAUAAGUGAAUUUAUCUCCAUGAUGGAUGAAGAUAAGGACAUCGGUUUAGAUGCUUUGCUGUUCAUUGCAAGAAAAUUCGCACACCAGUAUGGAUGUGCGUCUGAUGUUUUCCUUCUACUCACAGACUGAACUUUCAAAGCCUAAAAGACACAGGGGUAAAUCUCUCUGAAGGCCCAGAAAGAACAACCUCAAGUUUCAAACUGAUGGGGCUCCUGAAAAAAAAAAUCUGUUCUUAAGAAGAAAAUGAAAACGGAAAAAAAAAAUGAGCUGGCUGGCUGUUUUGGAGGAAAACUUUGCAAGUUGUUGAAAGAUGAAAGGAAAAAAUUCAGUCAUCAACACCAAGUAACCUGUCUGAGCUCCUUUAUUAAACUGAUUUUUGAACAGUUUGACUCUGUUGGAGAGGCCAAGCCAAAUGAAAUUUGAAUUGCUGCUGCUUGGAAAAAACCAAAACAAAACAAAUUUUGGCUGCCUGCAGAAGCAAACCGGCCGCACAGAUCCUAAGUGCAAGUCCCGGACCAGUCACAGAGACGGCUGCACGGAUGGAGCGUGCCCCACGCGUACCCUUCCCUUCUCACAACCAAUGAUGACGCAGCUUUCGCAUCUCUGGGUACAGAUCCCAUAAACACACUUUCUAUUUCUUUUUCUUUUUUAAAUGAAACUGAGCUGAUGUUAGCCAGUAAGUUCUUGGUAUCUUUUCCCUACUAAAAGACCUCUGAGGCCCCUGCAUUUCAUGGUAAAACACUGGCUCCUGCAUCUCCAAACAGCCCCCUUGUGCAUUUAACACCAUUGCUGUCAGCUGCAGUUCAGACUGUGAGAAACCCAUCGUGGGACUAUCCCGGGUGUAACCUGAGAUUUCUCACCGCCUCGUGUACGUCGUGAGUCGAUUUGCCUUGAUGCCAAGACUCUUCAACCAAAAGGAACACGAUCUGAUUUCAAACCGAAGUAAACGCCCAAAACAGGACUUGCCAUUUGAACGUCAAGGUUGAGUGCUUGGGUGACAGAGUGGGGAUGUCUGGCAGCUGGCUCCACUCCGGGAUCAAGCUCUUUUGGUCUGACCAUCCCGUCCUCCAGGAACACAGCAGCUCAACUCUGCUUCUGCCUGGAACCAUCUGUCCUAUUCCAGAUCAUCCUGUUGAAAUGACAGGUAAUGUACAAACUGCAAAUCUCAGGUCUUCCAUGGAGCCUACAUAAAUGAGCAAUUUUGAGGUUCUUUUUAAUGAAAAAAAAAGCCUCAAAUUUUAUGUCUUAAAUCAUUAACACCUAAAUUUACUGUAUGUCAAACAACACUACAGUAAAAUCCCAUGUAGGCAGGGUGAGACGCAAGGAUGUAACAGCACAUCUCUUAAGAGAAGAGUCCUGUUUUCUUCACUGACUUGAGAAGCUCCCCAAACAGCAUCAACUUUCUUAAGCCAUGAGUCUUAAUGAAGCAAACGGGUAUUGUAGGACUGUCUUAUCUAUUUCUUUUCUCUCCCACUGCCAACCCCACCGCCCUUCAAAACCAAAACACGGCGGAGCUCCAGUUCAGAGGGGGCAUUUGUAGUGCCUGCUGUCAGUGGAGGAGCCCCCAGGUGCUGAGCUGUGUGGCCGGGACGGGACCCUUGAUGGCCUCCGGGGCUCAGGGACCACGGGGAACAGCGGCAUCUUAGGACCUGCAAGGGGACCAUGGACAGGCACUUGGCGUGCUCUUCGCAGCCCAGGAGAGACUGCACAAACUCCACCACCUGCAGCGCAAGAUGAAAAGCCUGAUUUAAAACACGCACCUGAAAUAACACCUUGGGCUGCAGUCAUUCAGCGUGUGAGUGAAAUACACUUCAGAUCCCUCCAGCACUCGGGACGUAAAUGAGCAGUGACUCCCCAGGCACAGGGGCCUUUGCUCGGAAACCUUUCCGGCCUCUCACCUCCAGGCUGACCUGCGUUGGGUUACAGGUGUCAGGACGCCGAUGACUGUCCCCACUUGUGCAGAGGCUUGGCGUCUGGAACCUUCUGUCAGUCAGUUGUGACAAUGAAAAAUGAGUUGGAUGCCGCCUGAACCGUUCAGUUGACUCCACAGCCUGCCCGAGCUUUGAGAGACUCUGCUCUAGCGCAAACAGCCACGCGGCAAAGGAGUUACAAGCCAGCCCCCACCUCCAGGCGCUGUGACAGAUGCUCCGGUACACGCUCGGAGGGGAGCUCUCCCCCAGGCCAGGAAGACAGCCGAGAGGGAGCAUCCUUGCGCUGCCAGAGACAGCAGCUGCCUGGAGUCUCCCUGGAUGGCGUGUCACACAAGGACCACAAGCCAUUUCAACAUGCCUGCCCCUGGCCGCUGAGCUCCCACUCCGAUGCUCUGCCCAAAGGGAACACAGCACAAAGAACAGCCCUCCCAUCCCUGCUGGCCCCGACCUACCGGACCUCUCAAGGUCCCUCCCACCUCGCUACCCCACCCACCAUUCUUGACUCAGCGUCUAGAACAGCAGCUCUGCGGUGGAACUCUGGAAUGCCCCCAGGGAGCCCCCUUCUGACGGGCUGCCCUGUUUUCAAGGCUACAAGCAGAAUGAUCACAAAGCCCACACUCUGAACCAUCAGAUUCCCCUGGAGGACCAAUCUUGGUACCAGAAAAUGUGUGACAGAACGUGAGAAUACAGCCAGGAGCGUAGGACGUGGUCAGAUGAGAGGCCUGCGGGUCCGCAGUGAGAGGCUGCCCCCCCCUCCCGGUCACCACUGUCCUUUCAAGGGCAAACCCGUCCGUGGUUCGAUUACCAGCACAGCAGGUUUUAAUUCUGUCAGUCGGCUCUGAACUGUUCAGAGUUCACUGACUACAGAUGGGGCGAGGGCAGACCCCACAUACUCUGCAGGGAGCAGCGUCACCUUUAGUCGCCCCCUGCCAAUGCCUGGCCCGUCUAGUCGUCUCCGUUCCGCAGGAGCCCCCCAGCAGGGCCCCCACUCCACACGGAGGGUGCCGGGCAUGUGAGCUGCCGAGGCGAGCAGGGGCAGCAGGCCAGCCUGGCCGGACCUCAGCCUCUGCGUGGCCUCUGCCUCCUGCUCCUUGUCUGGGGCUGGAAAAGAAGCCUCAAAGUGAGACUAAGUCAAGUUGGCCGCAGUGAGCACUCAAGGAACAUUCUGUGACUAAAUGAACUCCAGCAUCACUGUCUCGUCCUCAGAGUGACUCAGGGUUUUCUUCAUUUAAAAGAAAAAAUAAAGGCCUGACAUGUGAAAACACCUUGAUCAAAAGAAACGUCGAAGAGUGUGUGGCUUUAAGUGUGAAGUGUUGCCACGGCAUCACAGUGAGCAGUGGCACUUACCUGGUCCUUAUUCAAAGCCAGUACUGUCAAGCAUGUUGACACUGAAGUCGAAUCCACUCCCCCACUCUGCACUGCUGUGAUCUAAUUUACCUCACAAAUAAACCCGAGGUUGACCCGAUCCCCUGUGGCUAUGGAAGGACACGGGGCUGCUGGGAGUGAGGACUCGGAGUCCCCGGGCCUUGGGCAUAGGGUGUCCGGUGGGGGGUGCUGGCCCAGGGCUGCAGGGACGCGAGCCUGGAGGUUUGGGAUCCUCAGCCUGAAUCAGCCCUGGGGUUGGGGUGGGCAGGUGAUGGCGAGGGUGCAUGAGGUUGGGGAGGG